rnacentral:rRNA from 1 species
GGAUUCCCCUAGUAACGGCGAGUGAAGCGGGAAGAGCUCAAAUUUGAAAUCUGGCAGUCUUCGAUUGUCCGAGUUGUAAUCUAUAGAGGCGUUUUCCGUGCCGGACCGUGUCCAAGUCUCCUGGAAAGGAGUAUCAAAGAGGGUGAUAAUCCCGUACUUAACACGACCACCGGUGCUCUGUGAUACGUCUUCUACGAGUCGAGUUGUUUGGGAAUGCAGCUCAAAAUGGGUGGUGAAUUCCAUCUAAAGCUAAAUAUUGGCGAGAGACCGAUAGCGAACAAGUACCGUGAGGGAAAGAUGAAAAGCACUUUGGAAAGAGAGUUAAACAGUACGUGAAAUUGUUGAAAGGGAAACGAUUGAAGUCAGUCGUGUUCUUUGGAUUCAGCCAGUUCUGCUGGUCUACUUCCUUGGAACGGGUCAACAUCAGUUUUGUCCGGUGGAUAAAGGUAGUAGGAAUGUGACUUCUCCGGAAGUGUUAUAGCCUAUUAUCACAUACACUGGGUGAGACUGAGGACUGCAGCUCGCCUUUAUGGCCGGCCUUCGGGCACGUUCGAGCUUAGGAUGUUGACAUAA